UACGUAGGGGGCAAGCGUUGUCCGGAUUUACUGGGCGUAAAGAGCGCGUAGGCGGACGUUUUUUUUUUUUAAGUGUGGCCUGAAAGCCCCCGGCUCAACCGGGGAUCCGGGUUGCAAACUGGACGUCUUGAGGGGGAUAGGGGAGAGUGGAAUUCCUGGUGUAGCGGUGAAAUGCGUAGAGAUCAGGAGGAACACCCGUGGCGAAGGCGGCUCUCGUGGGACGGUACUGACGCUGAGACGCGAAAGCGUGGGGAGCGAACAGG
rnacentral:rRNA from 1 species